rnacentral:rRNA from 1 species
UACGAAGGGGCUAGCGUUGCUCGGAAUCACUGGGCGUAAAGCGCACGUAGGCGGGUCGUUAAGUCAGGGGUGAAAUCCUGGAGCUCAACUCCAGAACUGCCCUUGAUACUGGCGAUCUCGAGUUCGGGAGAGGUGAGUGGAACUGCGAGUGUAGAGGUGAAAUUCGUAGAUAUUCGCAAGAACACCAGUGGCGAAGGCGGCUCACUGGCCCGAUACUGACGCUGAGGUGCGAAAGCGUGGGGAGCAAACAGG